AGCCAGAUGACGAGUCCCAAAUAGGACGAAAUGCGCUCUAUCUUAGAU
rfam:Trichobilharzia regenti genome assembly, scaffold: TRE_scaffold0005912